rnacentral:rRNA from 1 species
UACGGAGGAUGCGAGCGUUAUCCGGAUUUAUUGGGUUUAAAGGGUGCGUAGGCGGGAUGCCAAGUCAGCGGUAAAAUUGCGGGGCUCAACCUCGUCGAGCCGUUGAAACUGGGUGUCUUGAGUGGGCGAGAAGUACGCGGAAUGCGUGGUGUAGCGGUGAAAUGCAUAGAUAUCACGCAGAACUCCGAUUGCGAAGGCAGCGUACCGGCGCCCAACUGACGCUGAAGCACGAAGGCGUGGGUAUCGAACAGG